AACGAACGCUGGCGGCAGGCCUAACACAUGCAAGUCGAACGCUGUAGCAAUACAGAGUGGCAGACGGGUGAGUAAAGCGUGGGAAUCUUCCUAUCGGUACUGAAUAGCUCAGGGAAACUUGGGGUAAUACCGCAUACGCCCUUCGGGGGAAAGAUUUAUCGCCGUUGGAUGAGCCCGCGUCUGAUUAGCCAGUUGGUGAGGUAACGGCUCACCAAGGCGACGAUCAGUAGCUGGUCUGAGAGGAUGACCAGCCACACUGGGACUGAGACACGGCCCAGACUCCUACGGGAGGCAGCAGUGGGGAAUAUUGGACAAUGGGAGCAACCCUGAUCCAGCCAUGCCGCGUGAGUGACGAAGGUCUUCGGAUUGUAAAGCUCUUUUGGCGGGGACGAUAAUGACGGUACCCGCAGAAUAAGCCCCGGCUAACUUCGUGCCAGCCGCCGCUGUAA
rnacentral:rRNA from 1 species